rnacentral:rRNA from 1 species
CAGUAGCCGCGGGAAUACGUAGGUGGCAAGCGUUGUCCGGAAUUAUUGGGCGUAAAGCGUGCGCAGGCGGUUUUGUAAGACAGGCGUGAAAUCCCCGGGCUCAACCUGGGAAUGGCGCUUGUGACUGCAAAGCUAGAGUGCGGCAGAGGGGGAUGGAAUUCCGCGUGUAGCAGUGAAAUGCGUAGAUAUGCGGAGGAACACCGAUGGCGAAGGCAAUCCCCUGGGCCUGCACUGACGCUCAUGCACGAAAGCGUGGUGAGCAAACAGGAUUAGAUACCCCCGUAGUCCCUGUCUCUUAUAC